rnacentral:rRNA from 1 species
GAUGAACGCUGGCGGCGUGCCUAAUACAUGCAAGUCGAGCGAACAGACGAGGAGCUUGCUCCUCUGAUGUUAGCGGCGGACGGGUGAGUAACACGUGGAUAACCUACCUAUAAGACUGGGAUAACUUCGGGAAACCGGAGCUAAUACCGGAUAACAUGUUGAACCGCAUGGUUCAACAGUGAAAGACGGUCUUGCUGUCACUUAUAGAUGGAUCCGCGCCGCAUUAGCUAGUUGGUAAGGUAACGGCUUACCAAGGCAACGAUGCGUAGCCGACCUGAGAGGGGGAUCGGCCACACUGGAACUUAGACACGGUCCAGACUCCUACGGGGGGCAGCAGUAGGGAAUCUUCCGCAAUGGGCGAAAGCCUGACGGAGCAACGCCGCGUGAGUUAAGAAGGUCUUCGGAUCGUAAAACUCUUUUAUUAGGGAAGAACAAAUGUGUAAGUAACUAUGCACGUCUUGACGGUACCUAAUCAGAAAGCCACGGCUAACUACGUG